ACCACACGAGCCAGGAGAAGAAUCUCAAGAAGACGUGCAUCCAAGUUAGGUUUCCCAUCCAGAAGGUCAGCUUCAUGUCCCGACACGCGGCGCUGAGCAGCCUCUUUGGCGACGAUCCCUUCUUCAGCCAGGGCGGGCUCUUGUGGCCCCUUUCCUCGCUGCGCCAGGACCUCCUCAACCGCAAAGCGGAGCUGGCCGACACGUUCUUCAAGGACGGACCUCGACUCUUGAACUCACCUCUCACGGGCUCCGCUUUCCUCAGAAUGAGCGACCAAGAAGACGCCGAAGAAGAGGAGCCACAGCGUCAGGUCCAGCGGGCUUCGCCGCACGACGACCUCCUGGUGACCCUGGACGCCCGCGGUUACGCCCCGGGCGACAUCAGCGUCAAACUGGAGGGACGCAACCUGCUGGUGAUGGCCACCAAGCAGGCGGGCGCUCAGGAAGCUCACUCCUGCUCCUCCGCGUCCUCGCGAGCCUCCUUCGCCUCCUCGGCCGCCUCGCGUCUGGGCUUCAAGCAGAAGAUCCACCUGUCGCCUCACCUGGACCUGUCCGGACUGUCCUGCUCCCUCAUGGAGGACGGACAGCUGCGUAUCCACGCCCCGGUGGCUAGGCGGCCGAUCACGGAGGGGCCCCAUGAGCCAAUCGCGGAGGAGCACAAAGAGCCACUGGAGGCUCGCCAAGAGCCAAUCACGGAGGAGCGAGAGGAGACUCCUCCUCUUUUCAGAACUGCCCUGGAAUUCCCCAUCACUAAGGAGCAGACUGAGGCCCAACACACACACUAGCACACAAACACACACACAGCCUUAAGUCAAUUAAAGACCUACGACUUCACUCUAAAAACAUCAUUAUAGUUGCACUGCACUUGUUUUCCAUGUCUUGUAUUACUUUAUAACAUCCAAGUGCUGAAAAGGCUUCACGUAAGACUUAAUUAGAGACAUUUUAUGUCAUCGGGAAAGUGUUUUUUUUCCCUUCUUUUUGUUACGUUUUGAUGUGCAGCACAGUUUCACCAAUUUGCAUUCUCAAGGUUUCAUUUUCAUGUAACCCGCCUCUCGCCCAAAGCCAACUGGGAUUGGCUCAGCUCAGCCAACCGCGACAUUAGUGAAUUUAAAACGGAACAGGAAAUUGAAUGAUGGAUGGUUUAAUUUGCCAUGCAAUCCAAAUAGCAACAGACGACAUUUUUUUUUUUUUUUUGGAUGUACUUACAGCAAAGUUUCUCAAACUGGGGUCAACGGACCCUCGGGGGUCCUCGAGCCAUUUUAAGUUUUUAAAAAGUUCAUACCCAUAUAUGGGGACCAGCACACCAAUAAAACAAACUGAGUUAAAUUACUUCUGCCUACCUUAACCUCAGUCCAAUCAAAAGCUCUGAUAUGAUUGUGACGUAUCACAUAAAUCUAACAUAUCCCUUUUUUAUUUUUUUUAUUUUUUUUUAAAGAGGAUAUAGAUGUUAUUUUCCAGAAUAAAAUGUGAAAUAUUAUGACUAAUAAAGUUGUAUUUUGGGAAAUUUACAAGGUAAAAUAUUACUUACGGCUUUAUCUUGGAACAAUACUACUGUAUUCUCGGAAGAUUACAAGCUUUUUCUCUAUUUUAAUGUGUUUUAGUUACAUUAUGACUUUAUUUCUCAAAAAUUGCCAAUGUUUUGUUUAGGUUUUAAUGUUUAAUUCCUACGGCAUUUAGGGGUGCACAUGGUGAUUGUGUGGUGGAAUAUUUGAUACAGCUCUUACAUUGGAUUUCACGACAUUGUGUAAGUCGUCAUAAUGUAGUGGCUGGUUGGAAUCCAUAUCAAAUUUUCAUUUUUUCCCAAUGAAUUAAGGUUUAUAUUCAUUCGUAACGAAUAAAAGAAUUGGAAUAAAUUAUUGCUGCUUUUGUUGGUGCAUGAAAAUGUGAAAAGUGUGUGUUUGCAGCCUCAAGAGGAAAGUAAAUGCUUAUCAGAUGUGCGUAUUUUCAAAGUGUUGUGCAUUUGAGCUGAUAAGACAUUGCUGCGUGUCUGCCAAGUGUUUGCAUACUUGACCCGCUGCAUUGACGCCAAUGGGAUUGACUCUCAGGGCACAAACGAAGAUUUGAACCCACAUGCUAAAUUCAUUAAAUUGCAUAUAUUUUUGAAAAAAAUCUUCCAAACGAAUGAUACUUUGAGUCAAUGUUCCACUUUAGAAUUGGAGUAAUAUGCUCUGACCUCUUUGUUCUGGUCAGAACCCGAGCUGCAGCAUUCUGAAUGAGCUGCAGCUGUUUAACGCUCUUUUUAGGGAGUCCAGUCAGAAGACCAUUACAAUAGUCAAGUCUACUUGACAUAAAACCAUGGAUGAGCUUCUCCUGGUCUGCUUGACACAUGCAAGCCUUCCCUCUGGAUAUGUUCUUCAGAUGGUAGAAGGCAGUUUUAGUAAUGUAUUUGAUAUGACUGUUGAAAGUCAGGUCGGAAUCUAUCAGAACACCAAGGUUUCGGACUUGGUCUUUGGUUUUUAAAGAGAGUGACUCCAGGUAGGACUUGAACCAUUUAAGGACUGUUCCAUAAAGGAUCAAUUUUGCC